rnacentral:lncRNA from 1 species
GAGAUCAGGAAGGUGGCCGAGUGUGUCGCCGCGGCCAUCAGGCACUUCUCCUUCCUGCCCUUGUAUGAAGAAGGAUGUGUUUGCUUCCCCUUGUGCCAUGAUUGUAAAUUUCCUGAGGCCUCCUCAGCCCUGCAGAACUGGCUAGAGCAAUGUAUCUUAGGCUCACUUAAGGAAGCUGUAGAGAUGAGCCCAAGGAGGGAAACCAGAAGAGCCCCCCAGGCUCACCAGUUGUUUGUUGGCUCCCUACAAACAUGUCAUUCAAGUGGCUAAUCUUACAACAGCACAAAUUCAUCUAACCAGAAAGAGAAGAGGAGGCUCCAAAGGCACUUGACUACUGAGCAUCACCCUGGACGUGUACAAGUCUGCGUCCUUAUUGUUUUCUUCAUUGGGCCGAACUUUCUGGUCCUCAUCCAACAGCUCUUCUAUCACGUGUUCGAAAGUGUCAGCCAAUGAUGUCAAGCCUCUUGAACCUGCCUUGGGCCCAUUCACGCUCUCCAGAGUCCCAUGGGUCCGCACACCUGGAGAUACUCUAUUAUAGCAAAGAAGAAAGAUAAUUUCAUUGAGCCAUCCUGUUUUACAGAAUGUCUGCAAUAUCUGCUGGCUUUAUGUUUCAUAUGAUAAGCAUAUCGUCUGUGCCUUCAGACACAUUAUCAGCCAACAUGUCGGUGCUGGAUGUAUUUUCCCAAUGUUGCAUAAGAGGAAUACCUUCGAGAGUUUGGCCUAGGAAUGUGGCCUGGGACUCCGCCAAGCAUCUCUCUCCAGCAAAAUGACUGCAAAUUUCUCGACCUUCAGAUUCUACAUGAUGUAAAAGAAGUUUGUCUGUGUUUAAAAACACAUUCAAGAAAUAAGUGAACAUGUGAAAAGACAGAAAAACUUGUUUUAAUUUGGGCAUAGUUUCAGUUUUCAAAGGCACAUGAAGGCAGAAAGAAAGAAUCACAAAAUGGAACUACUGAUGAUAGCAACUCCAAAACCAAGACUGAUUAGACUAAAUCCCAUGUGGCAAAAAUUUUAUUUAGUAAGUUUCCUUCUCCCUCUCUCCCUUUAGAUAUAUGUGCAUACACACACACGCACCUUUAUUUUAGUAAUUUUUUUUUUCUGAAAAAGAAAGUUUUCUGCACCUGAUUGCUUCCAUGAAUAACACAAAGCACAAACAAUAUGACUUUCUUUGGUUAUCAUGCAAUUUUUUCUCUGCUUACCAGAAAUUGGCACAAAUUUAAGAUAUACUAUAUUCUACUCCCUGAAGCACAGUCGCUGGCAUCUCCACUGGCAUUUAAAAAUUUGAAGACAUUUAAAAGAAAAUCCACAAGCUUAUAGUUGCUGUCUAAAUCAACUUUAACAUUUCAUAUAUUCACAAUUUCAUAAGUGAAUCAAAUUACACAUAAGAAAUUAUAGAACUAAGCCAACUAAAUGACUUUUAUAAUA